AAGAAAGAAGAAGAAGAAGAAGAAGAAGAAGAAGAAGAAGAAGAAGAAGAAGAAGAAGAGAAAGAAAAUUGGGGCUUUUAGGGUUCUUGCUUUAAUCUUGUCAUUUCGGGUCAAAAUUUCCAAAGGAUAGCGUAUCGCCUGCUUAAAUGUUAAGAAUGGGCUGAGGCAGUGGAAAGUUUAGAAGACGUUGGGCAGAACUUUUGUUAGCAUAUAUGUAGUUGUGUAUAAGCUACGUUGCAUCUAAUGAAAUGUGACUAUGAAUCUAAACCUGUGGAUUUUGUGUAAGUUAAAGGAUCCCUCAUGUAUAGGGUUUUGGAAUGUUAAAUUAAAUUCGUGUAAUGAUAUGAACUUAUGGUAAAUCGAUGAUUGUGGUGACUGCAUAGAUUUCCCCACUUGUGGAUUUA